CCUACGGGUGGCUGCAGUGGGGAAUAUUGGACAAUGGGGGGAACCCUGAUCCAGCCAUGCCGCGUGUGUGAAGAAGGCCCUCGGGUUGUAAAGCACUUUCAGUGAGGAAGAACGCCUGGUGGUUAAUACCCAUCAGGAAAGACAUCACUCACAGAAGAAGCACCGGCUAACUCCGUGCCAGCAGCCGCGGUAAUACGGAGGGUGCGAGCGUUAAUCGGAAUUACUGGGCGUAAAGCGCGCGUAGGUGGCUUGAUAAGCCGGUUGUGAAAGCCCCGGGCUCAACCUGGGAACGGCAUCCGGAACUGUCAAGCUAGAGUGCAGGAGAGGAAGGUAGAAUUCCCGGUGUAGCGGUGAAAUGCGUAGAGAUCGGGAGGAAUACCAGUGGCGAAGGCGGCCUUCUGGACUGACACUGACACUGAGGUGCGAAAGCGUGGGUAGCAAACAGGAUUAGAUACCCUUGUAGUC
rnacentral:rRNA from 1 species